UAUUUGUUAAUGCAGCAUCAACAUCCUAUAAUGCUAAAACAAGAUCCCGGAAAUAGAAAAAUAAUGCAUUUGAAUAUGAAAAUGAUUCGAUUUCAAUGUGAAUCAAAAUUGAGUGUUAGUGCAGAUUCGUUCAUACGACAAAAGGGCACUAUUUUGUUGAACGUAUCAUUUUGGCUUAGAGGACUGGGUGAGUCAUGUAAAAUAUCGAAUAUAAUAUAUAUUUUUAUAAACAAUUAGAAGAAAGAUGAGUUGCAGAUAAUUGGACAGUUACCACAUUUUAACUAACUCUUUUGGCCUGUUAAUUCUUUUCAGCUCAAAUCAACAGUGAAAAAUGCCCAUAAUAUCACUUUUAAACGCCUUGUAAGAAAAUACACGCACUUUAAAAAUUAUCAUUACAAUGCAUUCCAGACGCUUUACUCUAUUAAUAAAUGUAUUUCCUUUACAGCUCAACCGAUUUUUACAACUAUGCCCCAGAUCUGAAAGGUUACUGCAAUACAUGAUUGAAUUAAUACCUUAAUGAUCUUGGGAGUAAAUAUUUCAGUUUUUUGUUUUCAGUUAUUCAUUUAACAUCUCCAGACUUAUCAGAAAGUUACAGUCAGGUCCAGCUGUUAAAUCUUCAUACUAGUAUUCAACAACUGACCUAUGUACAUCGAUGAUGAAGUUACAAUCUGGACAAGAUCUGACAGACGCAAUUAAGUGAAUCGACAUUGUGACGGUUGUUUUAUCGAAAUUAUGUUAUUAACGGUAUAUGGUGAUUAAAAUGUAUUUAACAAAUUACAA